CAUUUAUCAGUGAUGUGUUUAUAAUAAAUGUCUGAACAUAUGAUACUCUGUGAUUUCAUUUUCUUACUGAGAUAGAUG